UUGUAGUCUGUAGCCCCCUAACACGCUUCUUCUCCCUGCUCGAAACUUCCAUCUAAUUUGUGCCUUUUCCUCUAAGACUAGAAGGAUUUCCACCCUAAAAAUGCUUUCGUAUGUCUUGACCGCAGCACCCUGUCCACCCCAUGGUCUAAAGGCCACGCUGAACUGCUCGAACAAGGUGGUAUCUCUGUCUUGGGAUGCGAGUGAAAUGACCACAUUUUACACUGCGGCCAUGUAUAAUGGGUCCCAAAAGAUAGUGGAGCUCAGCACCAAUGAGACUCUGGCAUACUUCUCAGAGAUAUCCUGCAGCCAGCAGUACAGCUUCACCGUCACAGCCUGGCGCAACGAGCAGUGCAGAAGCACCCCCAGCUCACUGACAUACUUGACCACAGAACCCUGCAGCCCCAGUCAUGUCGUCCCAGUGAUUGAUUGCAUCUCCAGUAGCGCCAGUGUGACGUGGGCGCCCGUCAAUAAAGCGAUGUAUUACGUCGCCACAUUCCAGAGCGAGGAUGGUCAGUCACAAAACUGCUCAUCCCCCCGUACGGCGUGCAGCCUGCCUACGCUGCCUUGCGGCAGGACAUACUCUGUGUUUGUCACAGCCGUCAAUGACCAGUGCAACUCCAUCCCCAGUAUGCCCAAAAUCUUACACACAGUACCCUGUGUCCCGGAGAGUGUCAGCACCAUGGUGGACUGCAUGGACAACACAGCCUUGGUCUCCUGGAAUCGCAGUGAGGGGGCACUGUCCUACAGAGCCAUUGCAAAGGACAGCACAGGAAUCAUGGUCUCUUGUGAAAGUACCGAGCUCCGCUGUAAACUCCUCAGCUUGCCGUGCAGCACCGCUUUCGCCGUAAACGUCAUUGCAAUGGGUCUACCCUGCUCCAGCUUCCCCAGCGUGACUGCACACUUCCAAACAGGUAACACCCAAGUGUCUGACCCAGCCCUGACAGGAC
rnacentral:lncRNA from 1 species